GACGAACGCUGGCGGCGUGCUUAACACAUGCAAGUCGAGCGAUGAAGCUCCUUCGGGAGUGGAUUAGCGGCGGACGGGUGAGUAACACGUGGGUAACCUGCCUCAUAGAGGGGAAUAGCCUUUCGAAAGGAAGAUUAAUACCGCAUAAGAUUGUAGCUUCGCAUGAAGCAGCAAUUAAAGGAGUAAUCCGCUAUGAGAUGGACCCGCGUCGCAUUAGCUAGUUGGUGAGGUAACGGCUGACCAAGGCGACGAUGUGUAGCCGACCUGGGAGGGUGAUCGGCCACAUUGCGAAUGAGACACGGACCAGAAUCCUCCGGGAGGCAGCAGGGGGGAAUAUUGCACAAUGGGGGAAACCCUGAUGCAGCAACGCCGCGUGGGUGAUGACGGUCUUCGGAUUGUAAAGCUCUGUCUUCAGGGACGAUAAUGACGGUACCUGAGGAGGAAGCCACGGCUAACUACGUGCCAGCCGCCGCGGUAA
rnacentral:rRNA from 1 species